AACAAGGAUUCAUCCUGUUGUUGUAUUCUGAACUAGCAGGGAAUCUCUGUUACUGGGGGUGAGGGUACAGAGAGCUCACACAAACACAUUCCGUCACACACACGAAGACGCACACCCAGACACACGUUUGUUAUUUUACUGCUUACACUUCUCCUGUACUGUGCUAUGUAUGUACUGUAUCUAAUUUGAUUAAAGAUGUGAGAAGAUGUUCUUGACUUCUGGGGUCUGUAUUACUAACUAGACUAUGACUGUGUGAGGAAUUGCUUGACUCAGUGUAUAGGUUUUUCAGGGAGUCAGUAUUGACUCAGUGUAGAGGUUUUGAAGGGAGACAGUACUGACUCAGUGUAUAGGUUUUUCAGGGAGUCAGUAUUGACUCAGUGCAGAGGUUUUGAAGGGAGACCGUAUUGACUCAGUGUAGAGGUUUUGAAGGGAGACAGUACUGACUCAGUGUUAAGGUUUUGAAGGGAGACAGUACUGACUCUGUGUAGAGGUUUUUCGGGGAGUCAGUAUUGACUCAGUGUGGAGGUUUUUCAGGGAGUCCGUAUUGACUUAGUGUAGAGGUUUCAGUGUAGAGGUUUUGCGGGGAGACAGUAUUGACUCAGUGUAGAGGUUUUUCAGGGAGACGGUAUUGACUCAGUGUAGAGGUUUUUCAGGGAGACGGUAUUGACUCUGUGUAGAGGCUUUUCGGGGAGUUAGUAUUGACUCAGUGUAGAGGUUUUUCGGGGAGUCAGUAUUGACUCAGUGUAGAGGUUUUUCAGGGAGACGGUAUUGACUCUGUGUAGAGGCUUUUCAGGGAGUCAGUAUUGACUCGGUGUAGAGGUUUUUCGGGGAGUCAGUAUUGACUCAGUGUAGAGGUUUUUCAGGGAGUCAGUAUUGACUCAGUGUAGAGGUUUUUCAGGGAGACAGUAUUGACUCAGUGAAGAUGUUUUGCAGGGACAGUAUUGCAAUUUUCCUGUAUGUGUUUUUACAUUUCCCUCCUCUGAAAUAAAUAAAUAUUGUGUUUAUCAACACUGAAUCACCACUGACCCCCACAGCCCUUUGUUGGUCUCACCCUGUUGGUUACAGGACAGGGCCAGAGCAUGGGGAGGGUGGAAGGAAUAAUCCUCAUGUGGGCGGGUAUUUACUUAUCUGACACUUUCAUCCAGCACACUAUGAACCCCUGGGAACCUCUACACAAAUGCACACACAUGGCACACAGUUCAGUUCCCGUGGUAAUGGUCCUAAACUACCCCCUCACCCACCCAACACACACACUCACACAAACACACUCAGAUCCCGGGAGCAGUCCUGUGAGACCUCACAUUAACUCGCCGGUCGACGUUUGGCCAUGACACACCGGCAAGGGUGCGAUGCGGCGGAACGACCGGAAAAACAAAUAUGCCAAAACAAUGUGCUGGUGAGGGGUAAUCAAACGGAGCAGAGGAAUACAC
ensembl:lncRNA